rnacentral:piRNA from 1 species
UGAGAAACAUUUUUAGAACAA